rnacentral:rRNA from 1 species
UUUUGUGUCCGCGCGCGGGCGCUGUAUACGUACGUGUCAGGGUUGUACGAGUAGGUAUUAUCUGGGCGUAAAGCGCGCGCAGGCGGUUUCUUAAGUCUGAUGUGAAAGCCCCCGGCUCUACCGGGGAGGGUCAUUGGAAACUGGGGAACUUGAGUGCAGUAGAGGAGAGUGGAUUUCCACGUGUAGCGGUGAAGUGCGUAGAGAUGUGGAGGAACACCAGUGGCGAAGGCGACUCUCUGGUCUGUAACUGACGCUGAGGCGCGAUAGCGUGGGGAGCGAACAGGAUUAGAUACCCUGGUAGUCCACGCCGUAAACGAUGAGUGCUAAGUGUUAGAGGGUUUCCGCCCUUUAGUGCUGCAGCAAACGCAUUAAGCACUCCGCCUGGGGAGUACGGUCGCAAGACUGAAACUCAAAGGAAUUGACGGGGGCCCGCACAAGCGGUGGAGCAUGUGGUUUAAUUCGAAGCAACGCGAAGAACCUUACCAGGUCUUGACAUCCUCUGACAACCCUAGAGAUAGGGCUUCCCCUUCGGGGGCAGAGUGACAGGUGGUGCAUGGUUGUCGUCAGCUCGUGUCGUGAGAUGUUGGGUUAAGUCCCGCAACGAGCGCAACCCUUGAUCUUAGUUGCCAGCAUUCAGUUGGGCACUCUAAGGUGACUGCCGGUGACAAACCGGAGGAAGGUGGGGAUGACGUCAAAUCAUCAUGCCCCUUAUGACCUGGGCUACACACGUGCUACAAUGGGCAGAACAAAGGGCAGCGAAGCCGCGAGGCUCAGCCAAUCCCACAAAUCUGUUCUCAGUUCGGAUCGCAGUCUGCAACUCGACUGCGUGAAGCUGUAAUCGCUAGUCACUGGCGGACUCAGCAUGCCGCGGUGAUCGUCUCUCCGCGCGCCUAAAA